rnacentral:rRNA from 1 species
UGUCUCCGAAUAGAAGAGCAAGUCUCUCUGAAUCUGCGAACGGCUCCGCAAACCAGUUGUAAACCAUAGCAAGCAAAUCGGGUCGUCGCUUCACGGCGUGCGGCUCGGUUAAUAAGGAUACCCAUGGUAAUUCUGAGGCUAAUACAAGAACGUACAACCCACCCGACCCGCAAGGGAAGGGAGGGGAAUGUGUGACUAGGCACGCAAAUAUCGUACUGGGAGUGGCCACACGUUCAGACCGUCAUACCAAACGGUUGUUCGCUUCGAAAGCCUCCGGGCGAGUAGCGGCGGGCUUCCGGGCGGCUCUUGCUGUGUGCUUCUGACCUAUCAACUAGAUGGCAGCGUAACGGACAUGCUAUGGUGACAACGGGUACAGAGGAUAAGGGUUCGAUCCUGGAGAGUGGGCCUGAGAGAUUGCUCACACUUCUAAGGAAGGCAGCAGGCGCGCAACGUUCCCAUUGGGCAAAGCUCGAGGGCGUUAGGGGACAUAUGAAUGCCUGCCUUAUGGUGGGCAAUUCAAAUGGGACUGUUUUAAACAUCCUAUCGAGUAACAAUUAGAGGACAAGUCUGGUGCCAGCACCCGCGGUAAUUCCAGCUCUAAUAGCAUACGUUAAAGUUGUUGCGGUUAAAACGCUCGUAGUCGGCUACAGAUCUUCAGAUGCUUGAAUCGGGAAACCGGGCCAGCUGCUCUUCUCCAAGGGCGCGCCGGCUACUGACGAUAGCGGACGUCGAUCAAGUGUGCUUCAGGCUGUCUUUUCCUCCGGGAUUUGUCACAGGGCGGGUCGUUCGGUUGGGCUUCGCGCUUGAUCGGGCUUCACGUUCGGCUUGGGGUGCCUAUCACCAUGAUUAAACCGUAGUGACCAAAGCACGUCGUUAGACGGGCACGGCACAGCAUGGAACGAAUCGCGCUGGGCUCGCCUUUUUUUUGCGGGGGCUGAGACUCGGUAAAAGCGAAAGGGAUGUUCGAGGGUGACCGAAUUGCCGGGCGAGUGGUGAAAUACGUUGACCCUGGCAAGUCGACCAAAGGCGAAAGCAGUCAUCAAGGGCAUACCCGUUGAUCAAGAGCGAAAGUUAAGGGUUCGAAGACGAUCAGAUACCGUCGUAGUCUUAACUAUAAAUGAUGCAAACCAGGGAUAGGACAGUGUCCAUCUCGACUCCUCCCGGACCUUGGAGAAAUUACAGUCUAUGGGUUCUGGGGGGAGUAUGUCGCAA